CGUGGCUCUGUUGCUAUGGUAGUAAGAACAUGCUUUCGUUCUUCCAUAGGUGUUUGCAUGGGGACAUAUGUGGCUGUUUCCAUGGCAACAAGGUGCCUUAUCUCUUAGUGGAGCAGGAGUACAUAAGAAAAAAAGGCUUGAAUGAGUCCGAAGAGGGGGAAAUUGAAAGUGAAACUGGGCACUUCCAAAGCUAUGAUGCUGUGAGGCAAAGAAAAAUGCCUAGAAGAGCAUCUUGAACAUUGCAAGCACUUUAUAAAUGUUUGUUAAACUUGAACUGGAGUGAAGAAGGCAGAUAUUUGUGUUCAAAAGGUAUAUCAAG
rnacentral:lncRNA from 1 species